rnacentral:rRNA from 1 species
AGUGAACGCUGGCGGUAGGCCUAACACAUGCAAGUCGAACGGCAGCACAGUAAGAGCUUGCUCUUACGGGUGGCGAGUGGCGGACGGGUGAGGAAUACAUCGGAAUCUACUUUUUCGUGGGGGAUAACGUAGGGAAACUUACGCUAAUACCGCAUACGACCUACGGGUGAAAGCAGGGGAUCUUCGGACCUUGCGCGAUUGAAUGAGCCGAUGUCGGAUUAGCUAGUUGGCGGGGUAAAGGCCCACCAAGGCGACGAUCCGUAGCUGGUCUGAGAGGAUGAUCAGCCACACUGGAACUGAGACACGGUCCAGACUCCUACGGGAGGCAGCAGUGGGGAAUAUUGGACAAUGGGCGCAAGCCUGAUCCAGCCAUACCGCGUGGGUGAAGGAGGCCUUCGGGUUGUAAAGCCCUUUUGUUGGGAAAGAAAAGCAGCAGGUUAAUACCCCGCUGUUCUGACGGUACCCAAAGAAUAAGCACCGGCCAACUUCGUG